rnacentral:rRNA from 1 species
UACGAAGGGGGCUAGCGUUGUUCGGAAUCACUGGGCGUAAAGGGCGCGUAGGCGGCUUUAUAAGUCGGGGGUGAAAGCCUGUGGCUCAACCACAGAAUUGCCUUCGAUACUGUAGAGCUUGAGACCGGAAGAGGUAAGUGGAACUGCGAGUGUAGAGGUGAAAUUCGUAGAUAUUCGCAAGAACACCAGUGGCGAAGGCGGCUUACUGGUCCGGUACUGACGCUGAGGUACGAAAGCGUGGGGAGCAAACAGG